CCUACGGGAGGCAGCAGUAGGGAAUAUUGGACAAUGGGUGCGAGCCUUGAUCCCAGCCAUGCCGCGUGCAGGAAGACGGCCUUUCUGGGUUGUAAACUGCUUUUGCCCAGGGGAUAAAACGUCUCUGCGAGAGAUAAAUUGAAGGUACCUGGUGAAUAAGCCACGGCUAACUACGUGCCAGCAGCCCGCGGUAAUACGUAGGUGGCAAGCGUUGUCCGGAUUUAUUGGGUUUAAAGGGCGUGUAGGUGGACCUCUAAGUCGAUGGUGAAAUCCUGUAGCUUAACUGCAGAAUUGCCUUCGAUACUGGGGGUCUUGAGUACGGCAGAGGGAGAUGGAAUUCAUGGUGUAGCGGUGAAAUGUGUAGAUAUCAUGAAGAACACCGGUAGCGAAGGCGGUCUCCUGGUCCGUUACUGACACUGAGGCGCGAAAGCGUGGGGAGCAAACAGGAUUAGAUACCCUGGUAGUCCACGCCGUAAACGAUGGGCACUAGGUGUGGGAGGUGUCGACUCCUUCCGUGCCGAAGCUAACGCAUUAAGUGCCCCGCCUGGGGAGUACGGCCGCAAGGCUAAAACUCAAAGGAAUUGACGG
rnacentral:rRNA from 1 species